ACAUGGUGGGGCAGGGGAGGGUGGUAGGGAGAUGGAAAAAACUGGGAGGUGUUCAGCCACUGGCGACAAGGAGGAGGAAGGUGCCGUCUGGCAUCACCAUGCAGCCCGUUCCAGAUGGCAGAGAACCCACAGCCACUGCCUGGCCAGGUGGGAACAGGAAGGGCAUGGACAGGUCUGGAAGGGCGGACCCAAGCAGGAAGGUGUGACAUCAUCAUCUCAUGGCCCUGGUGCACCCAGCACAUCUGUAGAGAGGCGCACAGCUGGAAAGAGACUUCACUUUUUGCUCUGAAGGCACUGUCCUCCUUUGACCAGAAAGAGGAGGCACAGCAGAAAAACUUCUUGGAGCCAUUGCUCUGGAAUUUGAGGGACAUUCCAUCCUGGCCUGGUGAUAGGAUUGAGCAGGGACUGAGGGAGCAGUAGUCUAGUUCUCAGGGCUGAUACUGUUUUAUUGCAUUUCAAUAAACCUGUAAAACACCA